AAGCUACUCCCUCCGUUCGAAAUUACUUGUCUUAAAAAUGGAUGUAUCUAGAACUAAAAUACAUCUAGAUACAUCCAUUUUUGCGACAAGUAAUUCCGAACGGAGGAAGUAUAAG
rnacentral:pre_miRNA from 1 species